GAGGCAAAACCAAAUAUUUUUUCGAGAUUCUGACUUUGCUCUCGGGAGCAAGAAAAUCCAUUUUAUUUUUGUUUGUGUAUUUUCUUAUUGAAUGCUGGCGGUAGUUAAGCUGGAGAAUUUAUUAUCAGCAGCACUACAGGCAAAACAAGUGGAAAGCAUCUUUGAUAAACUUAUUUUCAAUCAAAAGCCGUAAUAGUAAUAAUAACAACA